GGGGAUUUCUCCAAUUGUUCCUUGCUUGAUCCAGUAAUGUAAAAGAUAUCCUUUUGUCCUGAUUUCAUUCUUGAGAUGUACUGAUCCAGUGAAGUCAAUUUUCCGUCCGACUUGGUGCUCUCGAAUCGGAGCAGUUUUGCUAGACGGUUCCUGUUAGUUGCAUCCUCAAUGAUACCAAGUUUAAUUGAUUUACCAAACUCAUUCCAGAAUCGAGUAUACUGGCCUUUCUUCUCAUCAUCGUCA
rnacentral:misc_RNA from 1 species